CAAGUUAUAUCCUAGGGAUGUUAUUAUUUACGAUAAUAGUUUGUUUGUGCAAUUCAAUCUAACUUGA
rnacentral:tRNA from 1 species